rnacentral:rRNA from 1 species
UGCAAGUCGAUAGGGAAGCGGUGCUUGCACCGUGAAACCAUGGCGGACGGGUGAGUAACGCGUAAAGAACUUACCGAAUGGACUGGGAUAACAGCUGGAAACGGCUGAUAAGACCGGAUAUUAUGAACUUGUUGCAUAGUGAGUUUAUGAAAAGAGAUGCCAUUUGAGAGCUUUGCGUCCUAUUAGCUAGUUGGUAAGGUAACGGCUUACCAAGGCGAUGAUAGGUAGCCGGCCUGAGAGGGUGGACGGCCACAAGGGGACUGAGAUACGGCCCUUACUCCUACGGGAGGCAGCAGUGGGGAAUAUUGGACAAUGGGGGCAACCCUGAUCCAGCAAUUCUGUGUGCGCGAAGAAGGUUUUCGGAUCGUAAAGUGCUUUCAGCAGGGAGGAAGAAAGUGACUGUACCUGCAGAAGAAGCGACGGCUAAAUACGUGCCAGCAGCCGCGGUAAUACGUAUGUCGUGAGCGUUAUCCGGAAUUAUUGGGCAUAAAGGGCAUCUAGGCGGCCAGAUAAGUCCGAGGUGAGAACUGCCGGCUCAACCAGCAGCUUGCCUUGGAAACUACCUGGCUAGAGUAUUGGAGAGGUGGACGGAACUACACGAGUAGAGGUGCAAUUCGUAGAUAUGUGUAGGAAUGCCGAUGAUGAAGAUAGUUCACUGGACGAUAACUGACGCUAAAGGGCGAAAGCUAGGGGAGCGAACAGGAUUAG